UACGUAGGGUGCGAGCGUUAAUCGGAAUUACUGGGCGUAAAGCGUGCGCAGGCGGUUGGUUAAGUCUGAUGUGAAAGCCCCGGGCUCAACCUGGGAAUGGCAUUGGAAACUGGCCAGCUGGAGUGUGGCAGAGGGGGGUGGAAUUCCGCGUGUAGCAGUGAAAUGCGUAGAGAUCUGGAGGAACACCGAUGGCGAAGGCAGCCCCCUGGGCUGACACUGACGCUCAUGCACGAAAGCGUGGGGAGCAAACAGG
rnacentral:rRNA from 1 species